rnacentral:rRNA from 1 species
UACAGAGGUCCCAAGCGUUGUUCGGAUUCACUGGGCGUAAAGGGUGCGUAGGUGGUCGGGUAAGUCCGAUGUGAAAUCUCCAGGCUCAACCUGGAAAUGGCAUUGGAUACUAUCUGGCUUGAGGAGUGGAGGGGGGACUGGAAUUCUCGGUGUAGCGGUGAAAUGCGUAGAUAUCGAGAGGAACACCUGCGGCGAAGGCGGGUUGCUGGGCUGACACUGACGCUGAUGCGCGAAAGCCAGGGGAGCGAACGGG